CCAGACGGUCGGAUGACCGCCUUUGCUCGGGUUCGUCCGGGGCGGGGGAGGAAAGUCCGGGCUCCACGGUUACACGGUGCCGGGUAACACCCGGCGGGGGCGACCCCAGGGAAAGUGUCACAGAAAGUAAACCGCCCGCGCUUCGGCGCGGGUAAGGGUGAAAGGGUGCGGUAAGAGCGCCCCGCGGUCCUGGCGACAGGACGGGCCAGGUAAACCCCACCGGGAGCAAGACCAAAUAGGGGCGGCUCGCUGACUUGAUCAGCAGGUGAGUUUCCGCAUCGCCGCCCGGGUCGGUUGCACGAGGCGUCCGGUAACGGGCGUCCCAGAUGAAUGGUCAUCCCCGUCAGCAAUGGCGUGGACAGAACCCGGCUUACAGACCGUCUGGCAAU
rnacentral:RNase_P_RNA from 1 species